GACGAACGCUGGCGGCGUGCUUAACACAUGCAAGUCGAACGGAAAGGCCCCUUUGGGGGUCCUCGAGUGGCGAACGGGUGCGUAACACGUGAGUAACCUGCCCUUUACUUCGGGAUAACUUCAGGAAACUGGGGCUAAUACCGGAUAGGAAUCCUUGCUGCAUGGUGGGGGUUGGAAAGCUUCGGCGGUUUUGGAUGGACUCGCGGCGUAUCAGCUUGUUGGUGGGGUAGUGGCUUACCAAGGCUUUGACGGGUAGCCGGACUGAGAGGGCGACCGGCCACAUUGGGACUGAGAUACGGCCCAGACUCCUACGGGAGGAAGCAGUGGGGAAGAUUGCACAAUGGGCGGAAGCCUGAUGCAGAAAGGCCGCGUGCGGGAUGACGGCCUUCGGGUUGUAAACCGCUUUCAGCAGGGGCGAAGCUUGUGGUGACGGUACCUGCAGAAGAAGCACCGGCUAACUACGUG
rnacentral:rRNA from 1 species